rnacentral:piRNA from 1 species
UGACAUAGCAGUUUUCAGUGCUUUAACC